UCAAAUUCUGGGAAUUUCCAAAGCCGCUGGCAGGCAGCGCUGCGUCAGAUUUUCCCGGACGCCAGCCUGCAGUGCCCGCCGCGGCCGCUGGGUGGCGCGGCGCGGGGCGCGGAGCGUGGGAAACACGGGCGCGGACAGGCUGAGCUCACACGCCCGCCCGGGCAGCGGCGUCCGCCCGCAGCGGCUGCGCAGCGCGCACCUCCCGCGGGGCGCUCGGCAGGACGGCCGGCCGGGCGGGUGGCGCAGCCCCCGUGGGGGAAAGCCGCUGCGGGAGAGGACCGGAGGAGGACAGACCGAGGGGACAGAGGGACGCCGGCCCAGCCAAUCCUGAGCUGCUGCAGCCCUCCCCCCC